rnacentral:rRNA from 1 species
UUCUGUUGCUAAAGGAAACAAAAUUAAUUUACCCUAUCAGGCCUAUAGAGCACUAAGGCAGAAGUUUUUACAACUAAUUUAGGUAAGGUGAAUAGGACUUUGUCUAUGAGAAAGUGUGCCAGCACAUGCGGUCAAACACUUAGACAAAUUAAUUAAAACUGGAAUGACAAAACUUAUCCUAAUAAACAAGCUACUAGUUGGUGAAAUAUAAAGUAGGGAGAUGUUGAGAGAGUUGUCAGAAAGAACUACUUUAAACUGGGAUUAGAUACCCCUUUAUAAGUUCCUAUUGCAUUUUCCAGAAAUAUUAUAACAUUUUCUCUUGGAAAUCGAAUGUUUAAAACUUAUUUAAGGCAUGGCGGCAGUAAACCUACUCAGAGGCAUAUGUUCAUAAACGAAACUGCACGAGAAUCUUACUUUCUUUAUGUCUUGUACAUCGCUGUUUAGACACACCAAAACUGGUGCGUCUCUUUCUACAUCUUAUGCAGAAAAAAAUCAAGUCAAGGUGCAGACUUAGGAAGGAAAAAUGUAUGUCAGUAAUUAAAAUUUACCUGUCACUUAUGAAAGUGAGUGAAAAAGAGAAUUUGAUAGUAAGAACUUCUCAUUAUUAAGUUCUGAAUAAGAAAUUUACUGUGUACAAAUCGCCCGUCACCCCUGUAAAUGGAUAAGUCGUAACAAAGUUGACUUACUGGAAAGUGAGUUAAG